AAGAAGGGACAUAGUGAAUCAGAAGCUAUGAGAAGUUUCUGAAAGACAGAAAGUGGAUGCAUUUGGGCUGAAGAUGAAAGAGCAGCCUGGGAUGGGUAUAAGAGGAUUGUACCGUGAAGGUGAGAGCAGUCCCAACAAUGUGUGGUUUCUGGGACUGGAGGAAGCUCAGGAGACACUGACACCGCAGUUAGUAGUGGUUUCAUAGAGGGAGCAGCCAGCUGUGUCGACCCUACCUGUUGGGUAGGAGAGGGAGCAUCUGCUCCCAGGCAAAUGUAGCAUGGGGGCCGGUCUUUGAAUCAGAAAGAUGGGCCCAAGGUUCAGGUGGCUGUUGAUGCUGUGAGGAACAUUGUAGACACAAUGUCCUUGACAAUUAGUAAGAGAGAAACCAGAGCACAUGAAGCAGUAGUGAAUGUUUUACAGUUUUCUAGGUCCGUUGAGCAGUGCCCUUGGUCCUCCCUCCCUGUGACUUUAACCCUAGACCCGGAGCCACCUCUGCUUACCCCUCUCCUCUUUCUAGGUCUUCAUGCUGAACCUGAAUUCUACUUCAUGUGGAAUUCCUUCUACCUUGCCACCUCCAGAAGAUAUGACCACUUGUAGAAAAUCUUGCUCUUCUGCCAAUCUUCUCAGUCUCAGUAAAUAGUAUCACCAUCCAUUAGGUAGCAAAACUAAGAAAUGCAGAAGGUAUUCUUGAUCUCCCUCUUCCACUCUGUAUUUGUUUCUUGUGGCUGCCAAAGCAAAUUUACCACAAAUUUGGGUGGCUUAAAAUAACAGAAAUCUAUUCGCAUGGUUCUGGAAGCUAGAAGUCCAAAAUCAGAUGUUGGCAGGGUUGAUUUUUUCCGGCAGCUCUGGAGGAAAAUCUGAUCCAUGCCUAUUCUAGCUUCUGUUGGCUGUGGGCAAUCCUUGACUUGUAGAUGCACCACUCCAAUUUCUGCCUGUCUUCACAUGACCUUUCCCUCUGGGUCUCUGUGUCUGUCUGUUUUCUCUCUCUUAUAAGGACAUAAUCUUUGGAUUUAUAAUCUUUGGAUUUAGAACCUACCCUAAUCUAGGAUGAGCUCAUCUAGAGAGCCUUAUAUUAAUUACAUCUGCAAAGACCCUUAUUUCAAAUAAGGUCACGUUCUGAGCUUCCAGGUGGACAUAUCUUUUGGGGACCACAAUUCAACCCACUGCACCCUCCUUUCCUUGUCAAGUCAGCCCCAAGGCCUAUCGACUUUACUUCCCCAUAUACUCCAUUAUCUUUUCUUUCUCUUCAUGUUCAUUACCAACAUUCAGGCCGACGUCACCAUCAUCAUUCCCUGGACCAUUCCCCUAGCAGCCUAACUGAACUUUCUGCCUUCUCACUCAGACCCUUCCAGCCAUCAGUAGAGUGCAGGGUCCAGCACAUAGAAAUCACUCCAUUCACUGACUGAAAAUUGAAAGAGAUGGUUGGGACACGCUUCCAUGGCAUGAUAUGGGGAUGCAAUAGAGCCCUAUGUGACCCCAAACAACCCCAAGAACACCUGAAAAGGAGACAGAAGCCAAUGAAGGGAAGACACAAAAUACGACUCUUCAUUCCAGUCUCUAUAGUCAGCCAGUAUUCAUUGAGUGCUUUUUCUGUGCUGGGUGGGGUGCUGAGGAGGGGAGAAAGACAAGAUUUUUUGGAGCUUUGGAGCUUACUGUCUAGGGGGAUGUAUACAUGUAUGCCUUAUGCAAAAUAAUUUAACUUAUAAAAAGUUAGUUCCAUUUGCGAAUACUAAUGAAUUAGAAGUGAGUAUAGAAAAACCAUAUAACAUGUAGGAAUGACAGAAAUGAUAAAAUUUAGGAAAAAUUUAACCAAAGAGUUACAUAAUGUGUAUAAACAAAACAAUUCAGUUUUAUUUAAAAAACAAAUAGUGCCCAGUUCCUUCAAGACCUUGUAACCCAGGGAAGAUCUGAUUGCAUCUGCUGAAGAGUGGUCAUUACUGUAUUGUUGCAAUGUGCCUUCCCAUGUGUGAUGCCUGGUUGUUACCCUGCAUGUCCCUAGAUUGUUUGUAUGGUUACAUGAGCCUGUAUUACUUAUAUAAUUAAGCAAAGCUUUAAUAAUAAACAAGAAACAGUCAAUAGCAUAAAAUAUCAGUAAGGGAAAGUAGUUAAUAAACUUAUUAAUAAGGUUAAUAAGCACAUUAAUAAAGUUAAUUUGUUUAUGCUCAUCAAGUUAACCACUUGAUAAUAUUGGCAGUAUGUAUUAUAGAGCAGAAGGGUGUCCAGUGAUUAGAUCCAAGUACCAUUGGCCCUUGGCAUCCUUGGGUUCUGCCUCUGUGGAUUCAACCAAUUGGGGAUAGAAGAGCCUACGAUGGUUGUGUCUGUACUGAACAUGCACAGACUUUUUUUUCUUGUCAUUAUUCCCUAAACAAUAUAGUAUAACAACUAUUUACAUAGCAUUUACAUUGUAUUAGGUAUUAUAAGUGAUCUAGAGAUGAUUUAAAGUAUACUGGAGGAUAUGGUAGGUGGUAUGCAAAUCCCGCACCAUUUUAUAUAAGGGACUUGAGCAUCUGAGGAUUUUGGUAUCCACGGGGGUCCUGAAACCAAUCCCCUGCAGAUACCAAGGGAAGAAUGUAUACCCUGAAUCAUUAUUUUCUUUUCAUUUUAGAGACAUAGAAAUGAAAUUUGAACUAGAAAGAACCUGAUUGUCUCUUAGAAAUGUCUGGUGAAUUCCAAACUAUUUUACUCACAAUCUGUGAAGCAGAGCUUUGAACACAGGCCGUCCAUUCUUCUGGACAUUGGAGAAACCAAAAGCCAUUUGUCAAAGAGAAUCCUGG
rnacentral:lncRNA from 1 species